GACGAACGCUGGCGGCGUGCCUAACACAUGCAAGUCGAGCGGGAACCUCAGGAGGGGUAACCCUCCUAAGGGGAGAGCGGCGAACGGGUGAGUAACACGUGGGCAACCUGCCCCGGACACCGGGAUAACCCAGGGAAACCUGAGCUAAUACCGGAUACUCCGGCGAGAUCGCAUGGUCGCGCCGGGAAAGCUCCGACGGUCCGGGAUGGGCCCGCGGCCUAUCAGCUUGUUGGUGGGGUAACGGCCCACCAAGGCGACGACGGGUAGCUGGUCUGAGAGGACGGCCAGCCACACUGGGACUGAGACACGGCCCAGACUCCUACGGGAGGAAGCAGUGGGGGAUCUUGCGCUAAUGCGCGAAAGCGUGACGCAGCGACGCCGCGUGGGGGAUGAAGGCCCUCGGGUUGUAAACCCCUUUCGGCAGGGACGAAGCGAAAGUGACGGUACCUGCAGAAGAAGUCCCGGCUAACUACGUGCCAGCCGCCGCGGUAACAC
rnacentral:rRNA from 1 species